rnacentral:rRNA from 1 species
UACGUAGGGUGCAAGCCGUUGUCCGGAAUUAUUUGGGCGUAAAGAGCUCGUAGGCGGUUUGUCGCGUCAUGCUGUGAAAACUCGGGGCUCAACUCCGAGCUUGCAGUGGGUACGGGCAGACUAGAGUGCGGUAGGGGGAGGACUGGAAUUCCUGGUGUAGCGGUGGAAUGACGCAGAUAUCAGGAGGAACACCGGUGGCGAAGGCGGCAUCCUGGACCGGCAAUUGACGCUGAGGCGCGAAAGCUAGGGGAGCAAACGGG